AAUUGGGAUACGAUGACACUUGUCAACCAAGUCAGUGAGCCUGACCACCCGACCACGUUAGUCGUCUUUGACGACAAGCAUGGGUUACUGAAGAUCAAUUCUAACCCGGAUCUUCACGGGUCACACGCUGUCUUGACCAGGUGUACCAAGUUGGACGUUAUUCGAAUGAAGCAGUGAGUAAGCGGUCUCUGGACAACAAUGACAUUACUUGACAAAGUAUAAACACUUAAAAAAUAGCGUCUGCGCGUUCCUCAACUGCCAAGUGUGUUUAUCCAGAAUGCUGAUCCACAAAUUAUCUGUUUGAGCACGACAAAUAUCUUACAAAAAUGCAUUUAGUACACGAGAUAUUACGUUCAGCUUAAUUUCAAGACACUUGUCACAACAUAGAUCACGUUCGUAUUAUCAAACAACUUAUAUUCAAGAACAUAAAUAAAGCAUCACUGUUAAUCUAUAAUGUAUAAUAUGUGUAGGAAAUACCAUUUUGUAUAUACAGUGUUCACUGAAACACGUUAUCUAACCCUGAUUAAUAAUUAUACAUGUAUUUCGAAUUUUCAUGAAUGAUUUAUUGUUUCUGAAUGUAUAUUCAUGCAUAUUUAAUGUAAUCGUGUGUGUCUGUAUCUCUAAUCCCUGAUUUAAUCAUUGCCACAGGUUUUUCUGAUAUCAUUUUAAUGACACUCAUUGAAAUGCUAUAGCCAUACAAUGAAACCUUUCAGAACUGAAAUGGAUUAACGGUACCUUGUUUCUUACGUAACUGCACGAAUUGGCAUACGAAAGCAUAAUAUUAGAGUUGCUACACAAAGCGACGACAAAAGUUUCUAAUAUUAGUGUGACGGCACUAUUCGACACAGGAACAAUUUCACUUACAGAGUUAGUUGCUCAUGUUCGAUGAAACAGUGUGAUAUUUGUGUGAAGACAUGUUCAGUAUUACGCACUACUGGACAGAGACGGUUAGAUUUCUGAAAGACAGACCAGUCAUUUCAAAGAUACAUUUCAUUGACUUAGAAACGAUUUAUUUUCAUGGUUUCUAUACAAGUCGACAUUGAGUCGAUUAAAACAGACUUCAUUUUACUACAGAUCAUGACAAGUAUUAUUAUUUGGUUACAUCGAGAUGUGUUAAGUCCAGUGUGCGAAAUAGCCACUGGCCCGUUAGCCCGUGGCUAUAAAAAUCCAGUCGGCCAGUAAAUCUCCAGUCACUGGCCCGACUGGCUAGUGAAUUUUCAUGGGGUCAUUUUGUAAAUAUAUCACUCUCUCGACUUUUUAAGUUGUAACACACUUUCAAAUCAUGAAAGAUUAUGGUCUGA